UACGUAGGUGGCAAGCGUUGUCCGGAUUUAUUGGGUUUAAAGGGUGCGUAGGCGGCUUUGUAAGUCAGUGGUGAAAUAUGGCAGCUCAACUGUCAAGGUGCCAUUGAUACUGCAGAGCUUGAGUACAGAUGAGGUAGGCGGAAUUGACGGUGUAGCGGUGAAAUGCUUAGAUAUCGUCAAGAACACCUAUAGCGAAGGCAGCUUACUAGGCUGUAACUGACGCUGAGGCACGAAAGCGUGGGGAGCGAACGGG
rnacentral:rRNA from 1 species